rnacentral:rRNA from 1 species
AUGGACAGUAUCUCAGCUCUUUGGUACUCUUUGAUUUUUCUGUGGGACCAAAGAAAAGGUACCUCAUCCGGUCCUGCCAAGAUAUGGCUAUGCUUGUCCUCAAAACUAUCAACAUACCAAACCCCAUGCUUUUGGUCAAGCUUCACGGUCAGGUGCGCUUCACAGUGGCAGCGUGUCUCGGCUCUAAGCCUAUGGCUGUGUCCUUCCUCGUUUUGCUAUACCUGGCCUUAUUCUUUCGAAUGCUGA